GCCCCUUGUAAUAAAUUUUAAAACAAUACAACUACAAUACGGGUUAAUCAUGAUAAAUUGUCGUUAAAACCUUUGUUGAUGUAGUUUAUACGUGUUUCUUGUUUCUCGUUUUUUUACAGAUUAGACAGUUGGUUUUCCCGUUUGAAUUGUUUUACACUACUUAUUUUUGAGGCUCUUUAUAGCUUGCUGUUCGGCUUAAGCCAAAGCUAC
rnacentral:lncRNA from 1 species